CUCCAGUGAGUCUAAAUGACAGAAGGAAUGGACAAAUUCCUGAGCCUGCUCGUCCUUUGGUUACAACUAAACUGGGUGAGCAGUAAGCAGGACGUGAGUCAGAGUCCUGAAGCUCUGAGCGUGAGAGAGGGAGACAGCGUGGAUCUCAACUGCAGUUACACCGACAGCGCUCUGUACUUCCUGCAGUGGUUUAGGCAGGAUCCCGGGAAAGGGCUCACAUCCCUACUGUCAAUUCAGGCGAAUCAGAAAGAGCAAACAAGUGGAAGAAUUACAGUCUCAUUGGAUAAACCAUCAAGACACAGUGCUUUACACAUUGCGACUUCUCAGCACAGUGACUCGACCACCUACCUCUGUGCUGUGAGCCACAGUGCGCAGAGGGAACCUGUUCCCAGGACUCAAACUGCAGAUGGGCUCCAACCACGUCCUGGCUUGGCGCUGAGGAAACUUCUUCCAUUAAGGGGUUUUCUGUAUUGACUUUCCUUCCAGAAAGAGGCAAUUAGCAAGGGUAGGAUAAUUUGAGAGAAUAGCAUUGAAACAUGUACAUUACCACAGGUAAAAUAGAUGACCAGUGCAAGUUCCAUGCAUGAAGCAGGACACCAAAGCCCACGCUCUGGGACAACCCGGAGGGGUAGGGUGGCAGGGGAGGUGGGAGGGGUGCUCAGGAUGGUGGGGACACA